rnacentral:rRNA from 1 species
AUUAACGCUGGCGGCGUGCCUAACACAUGCAAGUCGAGCGGCAGCGAGUUUUACACUGAAUUCUGGAAGCUUCUAGUUGACAGAGAAGAUUUAUUCAAGAAUUUUGUGUAAAAUGUCGGCGAGCGGCGGACGGCUGAGUAACGCGUGGGAACGUACCCCAAAGUGAGGGAUAACGCAUCGAAAGGUGUGCUAAUACCGCAUAUGGUCUUCGGAUUAAAGCCUUCGGGCGCUUUGGGAACGGCCUGCGUAAGAUUAGAUAGUUGGUGGGGUAAUGGCCUACCAAGUCGACGAUCUUUAACUGGUUUGAGAGGAUGAUCAGUCAGACUGGAACUGAGACACGGUCCAGACCCCUACGGGAGGCAGCAGUGAGGAAUCUUCCACAAUGGGCGAAAGCCUGAUGGAGCAACGCCGCGUGCAGGAUGAAGGCCUUCGGGUUGUAAACUGCUUUUAUAAGUGAGGAUUAUGACAGUAACUUAUGAAUAAGGAUCGGCUAACUACGUG